UACGUAGGGAGCAAGCGUUGUUCGGAUUUACUGGGCGUAAAGGGCGCGUAGGCGGCGCGGUAAGUCACUUGUGAAAUCUCUGAGCUUAACUCAGAACGGCCAAGUGAUACUGCAGUGCUAGAGUGCAGAAGGGGCAAUCGGAAUUCUUGGUGUAGCGGUGAAAUGCGUAGAUAUCAAGAGGAACACCUGAGGUGAAGACGGGCUGCUAGGCUGACACUGACGCUGAGGCGCGAAAGCCAGGGGAGCAAACGGG
rnacentral:rRNA from 1 species